AGAUACCCAACGAUCCGACUUGUUUGUCCCCGUGGCAUAUCAAAAGGGUCUACGCCCAAUGGGGUCUUACCAACUGGAAAGACUUUGCUCCAAAAUGGUGUAAGAUGUGGUAGAGGCGUCACCGACAUGUCUUGCAAUUCCCGGUUUUCCUCAACCAUGGUAAUAUGCAACACACAGAUCAAUAUUUAUCUUGGUACAGAUCGGUUAGUACCCCUGAAAUGCACGUGUCUCAUCCAAGGUAUUUGGUUGACCCACGAACACAUUGGGCACAACCCUCAUUUCCCCAACAACAAACCCAACACACAUCAACCUCCCACCAACCCCCCAGACGAAACAGAACCACAAACACCCAACCACAGUCACCACCACAAUACAAUUACACCCAUAUGCCCCACAACCAACCACAAUCACCACCUCAGUACCAAUACCCCCAAAUGCCUCACACCCAACCGCAAUUUCAAUCACAAUACCAACACACCCGCAUACCCCACACAUAAUUUCAGUCUUCUGCAUAUCCCAAUAUG